AGACACGUCGGAGCAUCAGGUCACCGGAAACGUUAGCUGCUCUCACCUAAACGUCCAGCAACACCAACUCAGUAGUUAGCAGAAGCUAAUGCUAAAGCAGCAGCUAAUGACUCAAAGUGUCAUUUCACCUCCAAGGUCAAGGUCAAAUUACUCUACGCCACUUCCUGCAGGGCUUGGCCUCCAGGAAGUGAUUGUUCAUUUCAGACUUUUAGUCGUUGGAUUUUGCUAACUCAGGUUUAGCCGGUCAGGUUAGAAACGGUUUUCUCUGGGUUAGUUAGCCUGUUAUAACAUGAAGAGACAGGGGCUCAUAUUUUAUGAUUUAUAUAUAAAUACGUUUAUAUGUGGUAUUUGUUGAAUUAUAAAUGUCUCAGCUUCAAACUUAAUAUUUAGUUUGAUAUCUGAACAUUUAGUCUGAAGCUAAAUAUUUUGUUAAAUAUUUAGCUAUAUUUAGCUCUAAGCUCAAACCAAAUAGCCAAAUGUAGCUAACUACAUUUGCAUCUCUACAUUUGGAAAUAAAUAUUUCGUUUGAAACUGACAUUUAUAAAUGAAUGAAUAACAAUUAAAACUGCAUUAUUUUUUAUUAAGAAAUGAUAAAUAAUGAUAAAUCAUGGCUGUGAGUUGGUCAGCGUUACUCAGCAGCGUAUUGUUAGCUGCCCUGUCGUUUGUUCAAGAUGAUUUUUCUAUUUGUUGGAUUUUUGCCACUUGCUCAAAAUGAGGAGAGGAAAUGGAACUUCAAAAUAAGAGCAUGGACAUAAACGGCUAAUUACCUGAGAAAUUCUUAACAGUCGUUAAGCAAAACUUCACAUGUUGAACUUUUCUCAG